AUUCAGCUGAUGAGUCGCGAAUAGAACGGAACAAGCGUCCUGAAU
rfam:Schistosoma curassoni strain Dakar, Senegal genome assembly, scaffold: SCTD_scaffold0000083